ensembl:lncRNA
GGGGGCUUAUGUGUUCUCUCCCAGAUUGGUAAACUCUGACAGAAACAAAAGGAAGCAAUUACAGAAUGCAAAUCUAGUGAACGACUCAAACGCUGAUGAAUAAAUAUAUUUGAUAUUAUGGUGAUGAAAUGCAGCUUUAAAGCUUUCCCAUUGUUGCUAUUCAUUCUUUCUCUACCAUUUUAAAAAUAAACGCUUGAGAUUUUUUAAAUGUUUUAGAUCUUCUGUGUUAUUCCUAAAACUUCAAUUACUUAUGUAAAAACUAAGCUCUACGUUCAGAAUAAUGACAUUAAAUUGCAGCCUUUUUUGAGAAUACUUGUAGCCAGGUUUGAUUCAACAGUUUCUGUGGCUUUGUUGGUUUCAUUGGAAAUCGUGUACUUAUAUUGGCACUUUUGUUUCAAAUGUUUUCACAGUAUUGUAAGUAAAAUCACUCUUUUUUUAAUGCAAUGAGCCAAGGCAGGCGACUUUGAAGGAAAAGAGGCUGAGAAAGCAGAGAAAGACACACACAGUGGGAGCAGAAUUUUUCACUCUGCUUACAUUCUUUGUAUCGAUUCAGAAACAUUUACAUGGGAAGGUUCACAUUAGAUUUUGCCAAUAAAUCUUUGAGGGUAAUGCACAGAAACAAUAAAAUGAUCAAAGACAAAAAUAAUUAAAGGUCAGAUAUAAAGAUAUGCAUUAAUAACCAGCCCAAAAAAAUGGAAACAUCAGUAACCCCAUCCGGUUUCCUGCACCAGAAAUAUGUGACGCUGCCACGAUACAAAAAUGAACCUGGGAAAUAAUAUUCACAGGUACAUUCCCCAUUUAAAAACUCUUUCUGUCUUUGAUGCAAUGCAGUCCAAUUAUAGUUCGAUCAACCCAGGUCUAGUCUUGCUCCUCUUCGAUCUCCUCUUUUUGAAUGGGGAGGUCAGGGUUUCCUGCACCGGUGUCCAGCACCUGCAAGUUGGACAGGUAUUUGAAGGAACUCUCAUCUACGGCGUCCACAGACAGGGGGUUAAACCUUAAAUUAAAAAAACAAGAAGAACAAAAACAAAACCAGAUAGUUAAUUGAAGUAGUCUUUUAAUUACAAAUUUUAAAGGCUCAAAGCAAAAUAAACAAAACAAUGAUCAACAGUCACAUCUAUAAAAAUCUGUACAGCUGAGCAUUGAGCAGAAGAAUGUAUGCUACGUAUGCUACCCAUUCUCUUAUUUUAACACCGUCAAGCUCACAGGUGUCCACUGAC